GUGUGCAUGAAGGGAAGAGCAUACACUCUGGAAAAUGCACCUAUUUCUCAAAAGCCACACAGAUUCCCUUUGCGGCACCAAUGCAGGGCAGUCAGAUAACUCUGAAACAUGGUAGAAACAGGUUGCUGAGCCAAAAUGGCGAAGGUAGAGAGACGAUCACAUAAGCAUUUCGUAUGGGAUGCAUCGGAGUUUGGGAGCAGAGAUCAACCAUGAUAGAAGGGAAAUAUGGCUCUGGAAGCAACUGUGCUGCUAUGGAAUGGGAAAGGGCUGACCUGGGCAGCUAUGAAGAGGAUGUACAUGGAUCUCGAGCCAUGAAUGGGAUUUGAGAGCCUGUCUCACAAAGUAUGGGGAAGAUAACCCCUGCCAUCUGAGGAAAUGAACUGAAGAAAAAGUAAGGGAUUGAAACUCAAGGAGUUUCCUGGCCCCUGCUUGGUAAUUCCCAUAUGGUACGGGAUGGUACAGAUCCAUUGUUAUUAAAGUUGUGGGAACCCAUGUUUGUUUAUACAUAAUGUCAACAAACUAUGGAACAGAACAUUCCUCCCCUACUGUUAGCUGAGGGACACACACCUGUGCAAGGGGCAUUUGAUCCAUAGUAUUGUCUCUUUCCCUGCCAGGGCCUCUACAGAAGCUCCUCUACAAGAAUUGCAGGGAGUCAGGACCUCACACAAAUUUGGGGAACAGAAACAUCAGCGCAGAAGACUAACAACUUUCCAUGGCUUCAUCUCUGACUAAACUUGUAGAUUUCCCUGUAGAAAGUUGAUCUGGACUUAAUUCUAUGCCUUUCUGCUACAUGCAUGCUGCCAAGGGGAGGAGGGCAACAUGGGAUGGCUUCGCCCUACUUGUGAGAUCUAGGGUUUCCUUUCCCAGGAUGAACAGAGGUGGAAGGUUGCACUUCCUUUCAACUCCAUUCCUUCCCAAAUCAAUCCCCCCCGAGGGAAUGAUUGCAAAUAAAUUAGCAUUGGUCAAAAAGGAGGAAAAUAUUUGUAAAAAAAUUCUCUUUGUUUUUGUGGAAACAUUUUGAAAUUAAGUGUUUUUUGACCAGCUUUAUUGCCAA